AUAAGUUAUUUAUUGGUUGUGGUAGUUGUGAAGUUCCGCGGAAGUCUCUCACUUUAUUUUUUUAAUUUAGUUUUUUUUAGGGUUUGUUGUCCUUUGGAGUUCCAGGAAAGGCAUGAUUUGAGUUUGGAAAGUAGGGGUGCAAUAGUAAUUGGAUUAGUAUUAUUAUAAAAAGAAACAGAAAAACUGUAGAAUGAUUGGGCUUUGAAAACUAGAGAGAGAAAAAGAGAGUGGAUGCACACUUUCCGCAAUGGUGACUGACUCCUCCAUCGAUUCCUAGAAUGGAUCCUCUCUAUCAAAAUACUCACAUUUAAAUAAUCAUUCCCCUUUCAUCAACUCUCUAUUUUCUUCAUCGUUUAUUCUGAUAUAGCUAUUUGAUGUGACUCCGUUGUUCAUCCUUAAAAAACAUGUGUUUGCUUGGUUGAAGUGUUUGGAUCAGAAGCUCAAAAUAGUUCAUUUCUAUUUAUAUUAUGAUGUCCCAAAUACUAGUUUCAUAUGUUAUGCAACAAAACGGAAGAUAUGUCCACAUUCAUUUUAGAAAUUUCACUGUUUCUAAAAUGGGUGGAGAUUUUUGAAGAAGCUCAAGGGAUCUCAUUACUCAUAACAUGUCAUUUUGUUCCCCCAUAUAUAGUUUUAAAGGUCUCUGUUUGUUUGUUUGUUUGUUUGUUGUAUAACAGAAAAGGUAUCUCUGUAUUGGAAUAUGUAGGUUUCCAAAUUGUAGGCAACAAUGUAAAGCUAGUUAUUGGUAAUGUAUAUAGGUCAAUAAAGUUACUCUUUAAAGGGUGUCCCAGCUUGCAAGAGAAUAUAGUUGUGAUGUUUAAAGGAAUGGUAUCAAAUUCCUGUACAUAAGUAUGUUGGAUGGAAUUGAAUUAAAGCAGAAUGCAGGUUGGGGCAUUAUGUGGAUCACACAUUUUGAUUCUAGGGGUGUGACAGAUUGAGGAGUAUGUUGACUAACAAUGUUUCCAAUCGUCAUCAAUCCAAGGAUAUUAAGAUAUUUUAUUCCUUUAUUUUUUAUUAUUUUUGCUUGCAUUUCUUGAUUCACUAUUUUCUCUUGUUCUUGUUCUGUAUGAUAUUCUAUAUUCAUAUUCACUUAUUGCCGGUA